AUUCAGGGAAACCUAGGAAAAAUCCGUUGGUCUUUGCAAGACCGUGAGGGUUCAAGUCCCUCUAUCCCC
rnacentral:tRNA from 1 species